rnacentral:rRNA from 1 species
AGCGAACGUUAGCGGCGCGCCUUACACAUGCAAGUCGCACGAGAAAGGGCUUCGGCCCCGGUAAAGUGGCGCACGGGUGAGUAACACGUGGGCAACCUGCCCAACCCUGGGGGAUAACCUGCCGAAAGGCGGGCUAAUACCGCGUACGAGGGCUCGACUUCGGUCGGGUUCUGAAAGCAGGCCUCUGUAUACAAGCUUGUGGGGUUGGAUGGGCCCGCGCUCCAUCAGCUAGUUGGUGAGGUAACGGCUCACCAAGGCUACGACGGAUAGCUGGUCUGAGAGGAUGAUCAGCCACACUGGAACUGAGACACGGUCCAGACUCCUACGGGAGGCAGCAGUGGGGAAUCUUGCGCAAUGGACGAAAGUCUGACGCAGCGACGCCGCGUGGGUGACGAAGGCCUUCGGGUUGUAAAGCCCUGUGGGGUGAGACGAACAGCUGGGGUUCAAAUAGGGCCUUGGUCUGACGGUAUCACCUUAGCAAGCACCGGCUAACUCUGUGCCAGCAGCCGCUGUAACAC